UGGGGAGUAACUUAAUGAGGCAAGAGUGAUGGCGUCCAAAGCCAUUGGAGUAGGUUCGAGUCCUGUCUUCCCAGCCC
rnacentral:tRNA from 1 species